rnacentral:rRNA from 1 species
AGUCACUGACAUUAGAUACCCCCGUAGUCCCAGCCGUAAACAAUGUGCGUUAGGUGUGUCGGUAACCACGCGUUACUGAUGCGCCGAAGAGAAAUCGUGAAACGCACCACCUGGGAAGUACGGUCGCAAGGCUGAAACUUAAAGGAAUUGGCGGGGAGCACCACAACAGGUGGAGCCUGCGGUUUAAUUGGAUUCAACGCCGGACAUCUCACGGGAUAAGACAGCUGAAUGAUUGUCAAUCUGAAGGUUUUACAUGACUAGCUG